CUCCAGGCAGAAGUGAUCUUUCCUGGCUUUGGGAAAGGAAAAGGAUAAGGCAGAAGUAUACAUGAAGCCACUGAGGAGAAGGAACAGUGAGAAGACAAAAAGGAGCUGGACGAGAUGAUUGACAUGUGGAUCAGUGAACUGAGGUGCCCUGAAUGUGGGCAGCACAGUCCAAUAAUCUGUGGGCCAGGAUGAAACAAAAAGGAGAAGCUCUACCAACUUCGCAAGCUUGAUUCCUCUUGAGUGGGUGUUUUUGUUUGUUAGCUGUUGCUAUUGCCUAUGGACAUUAGACUCCAGCUUCUGCAGCCUUUGAAGGUAGACUUGCACCAGUGACUUUCCUGGGCCAUCAGCCUUGGAUUGGGGCUGCCUUAUUUAUUCCUCUUGUUCUGAGACUCAACUUCUUGGACUGAGCAGGACAUAUUCUCUGCCACUGAAACAUGCACAUACUCGAGACACAGAGUUUCAAUCCUGGAUCUGAAGAGGAGGUCUCCAGAUGAAUUGUAAUUUCAGGUUGAACUUUAAAAGUUAUUUCUACUUUAGAGGUGUCUUGAUCUAAAACCCAUCACCCAAACACUCAGGAAUUAGGACUCUGCCUUCCCCUUCAUGUAUGAUUCUCUUCCAUGAAGGAGAUGCUCUGAGUGGCUUUCAGGUUAAUAUGAAAGAAGCUUGAAGCUGCAAAUGAAUUAAGUAACCAUGACAACAAAAAGGGAAGAAAACAAAACAAUUAUGCCUAUGCAAAUUCCUUCCUGAACCAUCAAAAUGAAAGAGAACAUAGCUGUCAACAACAAUGUCUUAUGGCCAAUGACAAAUGCAGAAUUAGUUAAAGCCACUGGCAUCUGUUGGCACAGCUAUAAUCAGGAAAAAAGGUAGGCCUUCACAACUCACUCUCCAUGUUCAUAUUCACAAUGUGAUGUGUGGGGUGUGUUUUAGUGUAUCAGUGACUUUCAAAUAAAAUAUAUUAUAUUUUAACGAAUUAUCUUUGGUCCAAACCUCCUGGGACUUUUGCUCUAGUGGCACCACUAAAGCCCUUAACUCAUCAAAUUCCAAUCUGCAUGAGGUAGAGCAGUGCUUCUCCAACUGUAAUAAGUGCAUGAUUCACCUGGGCAUCUCAUUAAAAUGCAGAAUCUGAUUCAGUGGUUCUGUAGUGGGCACAAGACUCUUCAUUUCUAAUAAGCUCCUCCAAAACCCACAUUGAGAAGGGACAGUGUUAAGGUUAAGAGUAUGCAUUCUGCAUUCACACCACCUGAUUUCAAGGCCUGACCCUGUAUAUUAGCUCUGUGACCUUUGAGAAGUUACCUGGCCUUCUUGCACUUCUUUAUUCAUAAAAUUUGGAUAAUAAAAAUGACAAAAAAUAGUGUCUACCUACAAAAGUUAUUGGGUGACCUAAAGGAGUUUAUGCAUUUAAAAUGUUUAAGUAAGUAGUACUUGACAUGUCAUAAGCACUCGAUAAAUACUAACUACUGUAAUCUUCUUAUGUCUUACCUGCUAAUGGAACAUUGUUUAUAUACUGGGACUGUAUAUUCCGUGUUUAACCAAUUAAGUCACAAGUUUUCAUUUCUGUGAAUUUUUCAAUGAAAUUGACAUGUGUUUCUGGGUGUGGUGGUACAUACCUGUAAUCCCAGUGGCUAGGGAAGCUGAGGCAGGAAGAUUGCAAGUUCAAAGCCAUCCUCAGCAACUUAGUGAGCCCCUAAGCAACUCAAUGAGACCCUGUCUCUAAAUAAAAUAUAAAAAAGGGACUGGGGAUGAGGCUCAGUGGUUGAGUGCCUCUGUGUUCAAUCCCUGGUACCAAUAAAGAAAAAGGAAAAAGAAAGAAAGAAAUUGAC